UCCGUAGACUGUACUGUAAGUUAUUUGUUAAAUCCUAAAGCUCAACUUUAGAACAGCUUAUAAUACUACUUUACUUGAGUUUUGUUCAGAAGAGUAGAAUUCCAUGUUUAGGGAUAAGCCCCGUAGAUAUAUGGAGGAACACCUGUGGCGAAGGCGACUCUUUGGUAAAACUGACGUUGAGGGACGAAAGUGUAGGGAGCAAACA
rnacentral:rRNA from 1 species